UACAGAGGGUGCAAGCGUUGUUCGGAAUUACUGGGCGUAAAGCGUGCGCAGGCGGUUUUGUAAGUCUGUCGUGAAAUCCCCGGGCUUAACCUGGGAAUGGCGAUGGUGACUGCAAGGCUAGAGUUUGGCAGAGGGGGGUAGAAUUCCACGUGUAGCAGUGAAAUGCGUAGAGAUGUGGAGGAACACCGAUGGCGAAGGCAGCCCCCUGGGUCAAGACUGACGCUCAUGCACGAAAGCGUGGGGAGCAAACAGG
rnacentral:rRNA from 1 species